GAAAGCAGCCACAAAGUAACACAAUGUUCCGGCUGUACUGUAGCUGUACCGCUGCCGCUGCUGACGAGAACACUGUGUUCCAAUAGACACCCUGACCUGUAACCCGUUCCGUGCCGAGCCAGUCCGGGAACAGCCUGUACCGCAGCAGGCUGUUCUCUCUCCGCUCAGCUGACAACACAUAUCAUCAACACUGCUGUGUAAUAGCCGAGUACAGACGGGGGAUGUGUAAGCACCGAAAUAAAUAAGCAUCACACUGCCCGAUAAGACGCGCGGUGAGACGGAUUACUGUUUCUGUUAAAGACAUCUUGUUUUUUUUUAUUUUAUAUUUCUUGUUUACCGGAUAUUUUUUUUGUAUUCUUUUAAGUACAAUCGCUGUAGCGUUUCUAUAACUUGUGUGAAGGUUUCUGGUGGGCAAAUCCCACAGUCAGAGGUGGUGAGGACAGUCUGACCACACUGCUGGCAGACAGCCAGGCAGCUAUUGAAGGGAACAUGAUGAUCCUGUUAAUUAUAAAGGUGACAUAACACAAGUGAACCUGAUUCUGCAAACCCACAUGGAUGUUGUCAAAUGGCUGAGUAAUCUUCUGAGCAAUCAGUUAUAGGAAGAACGUAGGUUUCACACACUCUCGAGUACAUUUAGUACAUUUUAUUAAAAAGCAGAACAUAGUAGAGAAUCAGAUGAGAUCAAUAAUACAACCACCUACCUGAAGCGAUUAACAGUAAAUACAUGGAUCAUUUUUUAAAAGUCUCAUCAAGGCAGUUGACUCCAGCAGAUAUUUGUUUGUUUUCCCAAACCCUCGUCUGGACUGCGGUGUCCUGGUAGCUUUGUUGGCACUUCCCCCUCGUCUUGUGUGCAUAAGUAAGUCAAAAAUGAACUCAGCUGACCUGAGCUGAACCGAAAUGCUUGAAUAGAUUUCUAUAUUGACACAUGGCCUGAGAUGCUGUCUUCCUUCCUGAAACACCAUGAACAUCUUGUUUCUGUUCUAGUGAAAGCAGAAACCUCAUAGGAAACAGGAAAAAUUUGGCGCUUAAAUAAACUGCUCGUAGGUGUUUAAUUUAAAUGUAAUAAAAAUAUUUAUAUAGAUUUAUCACUCAGAUUUUUGAGCUUUAGAGCCUCUCACUGCUCUGAGUGAGAAAGAGUUGCUCAGCAUUCACUAAAAAGUCUUAUAAUCUUUGUUAAAAUAAACCAAUAAACAGUAGGGCUUCUUGAUAAUUAGAUAACACAUUUACUAUAUAUUGUAUGGAAUACUAAAAUCCGUCAAGCAUUUGCGAGAAUACGUCUGUCUGAAUGAGUGUCUUGGUGUAACCAGAAGCACGCGGGUGAGUUCAUUCAGGGAUACAGGCUGCACAGUCAUCAGGAAGUGAAACAGAACAGAAUGUGCUGUACUAAUCUGAUUGAAAAACACUGCCCUGAGUGGAGGCACGAAAAAAAAAAAAAGAUGUUUCAUUUAAACAGCUAAAAGGAGAGUCCUAUGGCAGCAGGGGAGUAUGUACAAAGAAAACAAGCUGGGCUUAACUCUUCAUUUGGUGAUAUAAAAGACAAGUGGUGAGGAUAAGGUUAGAGAAACACUUGGUCACACACAAACAUGCGCACUGCAACAUAAUGCUCUUUGUUUGUGUUCUAGGCAUCCGUGUUACGUACAUGGGAGUAAUCUCCUGAGUGAUCCCUUUUAUCCCUGAACUUUUGCCCCCCGAAGCAAGAGUCCUAUGCUGCUGUAUCUGCCAAGGACCCUAAAUAAAUGAUUCUUUGCUGCGGCUGAUGAAGACAAACACAGGAACAGUGACAAACAGGAGGAAUAUUUUUUCAUUUCAACUUGAACCUUAAAUGACUGUAUUUCUUUAUCUUGUUGUAUUUUAUUAGAUAAUCAGUCAUAAUGGCUUCUUCAGAAUUAGUUAUCAUCUCAUGAUAUUAAUCAUAUUGUAAAGAUAGUUUACUGAAGUUAAAGUCACAAUACAACAAGUACAGAUGUAUUAUGUACUUAAAGUGUUACAGUACCUUAUCAUACAUUUUAGUAUUUGAUUAUAAUUGUGUGGAAGAAGCAUUUAAUGUUGCAGUUAAUUGAAGUGGAGUUAAUUUCAAACUCUGAAUAGGUACCGUUGGGUAGUCUAAUCUAUAAUAAUGCUAAUAAGUUAAGUUUUGUAUAGCUUUCAAAUAAAGGCAAUAUUAUUUAAAGUAUGAAGUGACUGAGUAUUCUAGUGUGCACUACAAAUGUAGAUAAACGUACUUAUUCCACCACGAACUGUGGUGAAACCACACACACACACACACACACAUAUAUAUACAUAUAUAUAUUUGGAAAGGUAAAAAGGCAUGCUGAGGGGUUUUUUUUAGAUAUAAAAUGUCUGUAUUUAUUUCUGAAGAUGAUUUCUAUCCCCAUCCACUAUUGUGGGAGUUUGGUUGUUUAGUAGCCUCAGCAGUGGAUUUCUCUCAUGCAUGAACACAGUAUGAAUAAAAAAGUGCAAGACUUCCAGA